AUGAAGAGCCCAGGGAAGAUGACUCCAGGCAGAGAGAAAAGCAAAUGUUAAGGUCCUGAGGUGGGAAAGAAAUUGUCGUGUUCCAGAUGCAGAAAGGAGGCUGAGUGAAGGGAAUAAGUGGAGUUGGUUAAAAAAGGUGGAUGGGAGCCAGGCUCAUGCAGCACCUUUUGGCCAAGGGAAGGCAUUCAACGGUGUUAUGCAAGAGAUAGCUUAGUGAUCGAUGUUGGAAAAGACCCCUCUGGCUUCUGUCUGCAGGGCGAGACUGAAAGCAGGACCUUCAGUCAGGAGGCUACUCCUGGCAUCCAAGCAAGUGAUGGUGGCAGAAUGGUGGAGAUGGAGGUCGAGAGAGGGCAGAUCGGAGAUCUAUUUUGGAGGAACCGGGGUGGCAGAGGAAGGGGCGAGCAUCUGGGUAUCGACAAAGAACACCUUAGGUGAUGUGAAGCAGAGAGACGUCAUCAUUUUGAAGACUGCAAUGGGAAACAAAAUCAUGACUAAUACUAUAAUAGUAGUAAACCAAGAAUGAAGAUUGAAUGCAGAGAACCAGUUUUUGGGGUUGAUCCAAUGAGAAAAGUCAUUGACAGCAUCAA